ACUACUUUGACAGAGAAGUGUGAUAGAUUUAGAAUCUUUUUAUAUAGUUUAUUUAACUAUAGGUAGUA
rnacentral:tRNA from 1 species